UGGGGAAUAUUGCACAAUGGGCGCAAGCCUGAUGCAGCCAUACCGCGUGUGUGAAGAAGGCUUUCGGGUUGUAAAGCACUUUCAGCGAGGAGGAAGGAGUUGUAGUUAAUACCUGCAACUAUUGACGUUACUCGCAGAAGAAGCACCGGCUAACUCCGUGCCAGCAGCCGCGGUAAUACGGAGGGUGCAAGCGUUAAUCGGAAUUACUGGGCGUAAAGCGCGCGUAGGCGGCUUGUUAAGCUAGAUGUGAAAGCCCCGGGCUCAACCUGGGAACUGCAUUUAGAACUGACUCGCUAGAGUACAGUAGAGGGUGGUGGAAUUUCCAGUGUAGCGGUGAAAUGCGUAGAGAUUGGAAGGAACAUCAGUGGCGAAGGCGGCCACCUGGACUGAUACUGACGCUGAGGUGCGAAAGCGUGGGGAGCAAACAGG
rnacentral:rRNA from 1 species